rnacentral:misc_RNA from 1 species
GGACUACAAGGGUUUCUAAUCCCGUUUGCUACCUUAGCUUUCGUGCCUCAGCGUCAGAAGAGACCCAGUAAGCCGCUUUCGCCACCGGUGUUCCUCAAGAUAUCAACGCAUUUCACCGCUCCACCUUGAGUUCCGCUUACCUCUGUCUCCCUCGAGCACGGUAGUUUUGGAUGCAAUUCCUCGGUUGAGCCGAGGGCUUUCACACCCAACUUUCCGCGCAGCCUACGCACCCUUUAAGCCCAGUAAUUCCGAGUAACGUUUGUACGGUUCGUCUUACCGCGGCGGCUGGCAC